rnacentral:rRNA from 1 species
CGGGGUGAGUAACGCGUGGGUAACCUGCCUCAUACAGGGGGAUAACAGUUAGAAAUGACUGCUAAUACCGCAUAAGCACACAGUACCGCAUGGUACAGUGUGAAAAACUCCGGUGGUAUGAGAUGGACCUGCGUCUGAUUAGCUAGUUGGCGGGGUAACGGCCCACCAAGGCAACGAUCAGUAGCCGACCUGAGAGGGUGACCGGCCACAUUGGGACUGAGACACGGCCCAA